UGUUGCAAGUACAAGGCCAUAGCAGAAGUACUCGCAAUGGAGCCCUGUCAGAUUCCAACAAAUCUGCAAAUUCUGCC
rnacentral:ribozyme from 1 species